GAUGAACGCUGGCGGCGCGCUUAACACAUGCAAGUCGAACGAUUAAAGCCCCUUCGGGGGUGUAUAGAGUGGCGAACGGGUGAGUAACACGUGAGUAACCUGCCCCUGACUCUGGGAUAAGCGUUGGAAACGACGUCUAAUACCGGAUACGCCUCCUUCAGGCAUCUGUCGGAGUGGAAAGAAUUUCGGUUGGGGAUGGACUCGCGGCCUAUCAGCUUGUUGGUGGGGUGAUGGCCUACCAAGGCGACGACGUGUAUCCGGCCUGAGAGGGUGACCGGCCACACUGGGAAUGAGACACGGCCCAGACUCCUACGGGAGGCAGCAGUGGGGAAUAUUGCACAAUGGGCGCAAGCCUGAUGCAGCAACGCCGCGUGAGGGAUGACGGCCUUCGGGUUGUAAACCUCUUUUAGCAGGGAAGAAGCGAGAGUGACGGUACCUGCAGAAAAAGCACCGGCUAACUACGUGCCAGCCGCCGCAGUAAGAC
rnacentral:rRNA from 1 species